AAUGAGUUGGCAGAGAUAUGCAAUUGGUUUAGGACCAAUACACAGGAAUAACCCCUACUCAUUU
rnacentral:tRNA from 1 species